rnacentral:rRNA from 1 species
UACAGAGGGUGCAAGCGUUGUUCGGAAUUACUGGGCGUAAAGCGCGUGUAGGUGGCGACGUAAGUCGAAUGUGAAAUCCCUCAGCUUAACUGAGGAAGUGCAUUCGAUACUGCGCCGCUUGAGUACCGGAGGGGAUGGCGGAAUUCCCGGUGUAGAGGUGAAAUUCGUAGAUAUCGGGAGGAACACCUGUGGCGAAGGCGGCCAUCUGGACGGUCACUGACACUGAGACGCGAAAGCGUGGGUAGCAAACAGG